rnacentral:lncRNA from 1 species
AAUUCUCCAGCUUUGUUUGGUUGAAAUGGCGUGCAAUUUAUCACCUGCAUUUGGGUUAAUAUAUUUAAAGGCUAUAAGCGUAUUUACCACGUAAUAGGAAAUUAUUCAUUAUCGAUGCAAUGGGAAUACCAGAAUGUAUUGUCACAUAUCUUACCGAUUGCUUUGCAAUUAUGACACAUUUUAUACCACCGGUCGUAUGAUGUGUUGAUUCCGAUAAUUUUAGUCUUAUAUGUUAUCUUUACAUUUUAUUAAUGAAACGAUAAUAAGGAAUUAGAUAAUAUGGAAAAAUAGUAGAAUAUAAAAUUAGGAAAUAGUUAUUUUCCUAAACAUUUGUGGAGGAAUAGUUUUUUAUUAACCAUAAGUAUAAAUCGCUGUAAUUUUGGUUUUUUAUUAUCAAUUUAUCCAAAUAACCCGAUAUUCCAUGAUUUUUGUAACAUUAUUUAUUCAACAUCGAAGGUUAGUGCAUGAGAACCUAUGUAUGUAUCAAAUAUUUUGGGAUAGGAAAAGAUGUUUCUAAUUUUAGAGUCUCUUCAAAGCAUUUGUGUAUGUUGAGGAAAAGAUGUUAUUAAUAUGUGUAUGAUGAAAAGAAUGUGUUAUUAAUAUGGAUAAUUGUCUAUUGUCACGCCCCGGGGCCGAUUUAAAAGCCAUUACUAUUUUUAAAACUCAGAGUCGCGGAAGAUGUACAAAAUUUUUUUUUUUUUUUUUUUGAAAACCUGGCCCACGUGACGUACAGACCCGCCACAAAUACAAAAUUCCUCUGUCCAUUCGGGCAGAGUCUCCUUUGUAUCUGCACGGCGUACCAACGGAUAUAACAGGAUCACAACAACAACCUACAUUUACCAAUCAGCAACCAAUUCAUGAUAUGCAUUUUCAUACAGCUAACAAUCCUUAGAAUGAUGCAUGCCUCUAAGCACUCCUUAGGCGCUGGAUGAUGCAAUGCACAAUACAACAACCAUCCUAUUUAAAAGUGCUCCCCACACAGAAGCUUUUUUUUUUGAACUCUAAUUCAUUCAUCAUGAAAAGCUAUUUGAAAACCUUUUGAAAACUGUUUCCCACACGGAAACUCUAUUUUGAAAACCGACUACCUCGAGGGGUAGAAAACCACGAUGCGUAAAUCCAUAAAUACAAAUCCGAGAACCACAAAGUAUACGAACAUCCCAAAACUGAAGAUCCAUAAACAAAAUCCACAAUUCCACAAAUUCACAAAUUCAACCAGCUCACAACAUUCAAACAUCAAGUAUGAUCAUCUAACUGAACCAUAUAAACUAAUUAGGCUAUAACAACAGAAUAGUAAGGAUAAAAACUAAAUCGAUAACCUGGGUUGGAAGCUCUAUCGACCGCUACGAACGUACCUCACGUCUCGUCCCAAAACUCAUCGCCUGCAAUACCUGAAAAAU